rnacentral:rRNA from 1 species
AACUGUCUCCUUUUUCUAAUCAAUGAAACUGAUCUCCUCGUGAAGAAGCGAGGAAAAACAUAUAAGACGAGAAGACCCUAUGGAGCUUUAAACAAUAGAGAUACUUGCUAAACCUAAACUGUCUGUCUGAAAAUUAAACAAAUUAAAGCCUUUUACUUUCUAGUUUUAGGUUGGGGUGACCACGGAGAAAAGAAAAACCUCCACGUUGUAAUGAAGCCCCCCCCCUUCUAAACCAAAAGCUACAGCUUAAAGCAUCAACAC